GAUAUUUUUGAAGAUUAUGCUUCUCCCACCACAGCAGCCCAGACUCUCUUAUAUACUGCUGCAAAGAAAAGAAAAGAGGUGUUGCCAAAAAUGAUGGCAUUCUGUUAUCAAAUCUUGACAGACCCGAACUUUGAUCCUAGGAAGAAAGAUGGAGCACUGCAUGUGAUUGGUUCCCUAGCUGAGAUUUUAUUGAAGAAGAUUUUAUUCAAAGACCAAAUGGAGUUGUUUCUACAGAAUCAUGUAUUUCCAUUAUUAUUGUCUAACCUGGGAUAUCUU